CCUCUAAACUUGACUCAUGCUGC
rnacentral:piRNA from 1 species